rnacentral:rRNA from 1 species
AUACUCCGAGAACUGAAAGGCUUUUUGAAGUCUUCGGAUGGAUAGAAGAACCCCUGAUGCCGUCGAGCCAAGAAAAGUUUCUAAGUUUAGCUAAUGUUGCCCGUACCGUAAACCGACACAGGUGGGUGGGAUGAGUAUUCUAAGGCGCGUGGAAGAACUCUCUUUAAGGAACUCUGCAAAAUAGCACCGUAUCUUCGGUAUAAGGUGUGGUUAGCUUUGUAUUAGGAUUUACUCCGAAAGCAAGGAAACUUACAACAAAGAGUCCCUCCCGACUGUUUACCAAAAACACAGCACUCUGCUAACUCGUAAGAGGAUGUAUAGGGUGUGACGCCUGCCCGGUGCUCGAAGGUUAAUUGAUGGGGUUAGCAUUAGCGAAGCUCUUGAUCGAAGCCCGAGUAAACGGCGGCCGUAACUAUAACGGUCCUAAGGUAGCGAAAUUCCUUGUCGGUUAAAUACCGACCUGCAUGAAUGGCGUAACGAGAUGGGAGCUGUCUCAAAGAGGGAUCCAGUGAAAUUGUAGUGGAGGUGAAAAUUCCUCCUACCCGCGGCAAGACGGAGAGACCCCGUGGACCUUUACUACAGCUUGACACUGCUACUUGGAUAAGAAUGUGCAGGAUAGGUGGGAGGCUUUGAGUAUAUGACGCCAGUUGUAUAUGAGCCAUUGUUGAGAUACCACUCUUUCUUAUUUGGGUAGCUAACCAGCUUGAGUUAUCCUCAAGUGGGACAAUGUCUGGUGGGUAGUUUGACUGGGGCGGUCGCCUCCCAAAUAAUAACGGAGGCUUACAAAGGUUGGCUCAGAACGGUUGGAAAUCGUUCGUAGAGUAUAAAGGUAUAAGCCAGCUUAACUGCAAGACAUACAAGUCAAGCAGAGACGAAAGUCGGUCUUAGUGAUCCGGUGGUUCUGUGUGGAAGGGCCAUCGCUCAAAGGAUAAAAGGUACCCCGGGGAUAACAGGCUGAUCUCCCCCAAGAGCUCACAUCGACGGGGAGGUUUGGCACCUCGAUGUCGGCUCAUCGCAUCCUGGGGCUGGAGCAGGUCCCAAGGGUAUGGCUGUUCGCCAUUUAAAGCGGUACGCGAGCUGGGUUCAGAACGUCGUGAGACAGUUCGGUCCCUAUCUGCCGUGGGCGUAAGAAGAUUGAAGAGAUUUGACCCUAGUACGAGAGGACCGGGUUGAACAAACCACUGGUGUAGCUGUUGUUCUGCCAAGAGCAUCGCAGCGUAGCUAAGUUUGGAAAGGAUAAACGC